UUGUUACUGCUCUUGAGUUGUGUUAAGACACAUUCUUAAGAAGUGCUGGUAAUGGAAUGGUAAUGUCAGUCGUCAGAUAUAUGCUGAAAUGUACAAAUGUAAGUUCCGGCCCAAACCAUUAAUUUAGAAUUCCAGCAACUGGGCUUUUUCGUGGUAACUUUUUUGUUUUUCUGAUA